CACAUAUAUAUGUAUAUAGAUAUGUGAAUGCGCAUGGCUCAUUGGUUAGGACGUCGGGUUCACAGUCGUGAAGUUGUGAGUUCGACUCCCGGGCCGGGCUGUAUGUUGUGUUCUUGAGCAAGACACUUUAUUUCACGUUACUCCAGAUCUCUCAUCUGUAGAAAUGUGUUGUGACAUCACUAGUGCCAAGCUCUUUCGGUCUUUGCCUUUAUCUCGGAUAACAUCGGUG